rnacentral:sRNA from 1 species
UUUACGUUGGGACUCAUCAAUUAAAAUAC